UUAAUCAUUUAUCAGCAUCGAACCCUGGUCAUUUUCUUGUUGGUACUAAACACGUCAGAAGUAUCUCCACCUCGCAACGGCGUCCUAUCCAUCCAGCAACGAGGGCUGUUGUAUGCUGGAGAGUGAAAUAGUCACAUCAACCUUGACAAAUCUCACCCACUUCAAUCCUCUCCAGCAAAUUCUCCCUGCAACUCACCUCAACUUCCUUCCUCAACUUUAUAUCAUCUCUAAAGACAAUAGUAUCCAUGCCGUUCUUCUUAAGAUGCCCGAUUCUGAGACUUCGUCCGUCUACAUUAGCCCUGCUUUGUCCUCAAGGGACACCAUUCACGCGAAGGGGGACACCAACAUUUCCAUCGAUUGUGAAAAUUCCCCCUCUCCUCACCGCAGCAUAUUUUUACGUGGCAUGUGGGAACAAGUUUGUUGCUCGUUUGCCCUCAACGUGUCUGGAAUUCUAAUUCUUUGUGCAAUCAUUAGCCUGGCUUAUUACAUUGAUUCCACCAGAAAUAGGGGUGACAUUCAAGGUGGGAAAAAUGAAACAGUGGUGAAGAAUUUUACACUUGUUGAUGAACUUGUCCUUCAAUAAAUUUUCUUCAAAGAAAAUAAUAACAACUCGGAAAGAAAUGCACUACAUUUUGUAGUCAAACUGGAUUUCCUGGAAGGAGUGGAAAAAAGCUAAUAGUUCUAAAAGUUUAGUGUCCAAGCUUUCCUAAAAUAAGCUAAAGUUCAGGAUCCAAAUACUUACAUUUAGAGAGAAACAGAGAUUUCAUUAAAUUUUACGCUGUGAUUUGUUCAUGCAUUCUUGCCAGAAGUACACUCAAUUUACAAAAUGGCAUCCUUGAUUCCCGGUUCCUCGAAAUAUUUACCAACUCAUCGCCGAGCCCCAACGACCAAACAAAAUCUUAAAAAUGACGAGAUUAAGGUAGACUUCCUGGGAACCUGGAUGUACCAUCAUCCUUUUGCAACCACCUGGUUCUUCGUCAUCAUACUAUCAAUUGUCGUAGCGGUACACUACUACAUUGCGAUUGGUGGCUUCAGACAAGAGUGGGAUGAAUCCCAUGGUAAGAAGAAGAAGAAGACAACGAAGAAGAAGAAAAAGAAGAAAAGGAAGGGAAAAUAUUACAAAUUGAGGAAGGAGAUCCCCUACUUCGGCAUCAUCUUAAUGUGCAUCACGUGGGCAACACGGCUGUUUUUCUUCCAGCGACCCCCCGAUCCAUGCCAUGGGCCUACUUAAGUAGGAAAACGGCUCAAACUAAGCUAUGAGUUACGACAAUCCCAUACUUACGUAAUGCAAAUGGCCUAUAAAAGUCACGUCACAAAGAUUUCUUCCCAAGACGUCCUACAAAUUUCUACCCCAGGUUCAUUCAUCCUCAAACGACUGGAGUUCCUCAGUAAAUAUGUUUGUACAAAAUCAGGCACUUUUAAAUAAGUUCACUCUAAUCUUAAGAUAUUGAUCUAAUCAGUAAAAUAAGUUCCCAAACUGUGCAUAAAUUUUCAGCUUGGAACAAAACAAAAGUCCAGUACUAAAUAAGCUGAAGAAUCUAUUUAUUAUACUCAAGAGAACUAACUUUUAACAUGCACAAUCCUACCAUUUGAGCUCGUUUAUAUCCAUCCACUAAAUCCACUAAUACCACGAUUCAAAAUCCAACUAUAAUCCUGACUCGACAUGGACAAUAUUUCAAUGUGUUAGCUUAAUAUUUUUGCACGCAUUUAAAGGUAAAGUUCUCCUCUUUGAAAAGUAAAUGUUGUGGAAAUUUGUAGUAAAGCAAACUAUACAAAGUUUACUACCAUGCUA